rnacentral:lncRNA from 1 species
GUCAUACUAGAAAAUAUUUGCAUCAUAUUUAACAGUCAAAGGAUUAAUGCACAGGAUAUGUAAAGACUCUGACAGAUCAUUAAGGAAAAAUGCAAACAUCAUAACAGAAAAAAAUGGACAAAGAAUUUGAACAGGAGGUCAUCGAAUGGGAAAUUCAAAAGGCUAAAAAAGUAAAAAUAUAUGUUCAGUCUUACUUUUUAUCAGGAAAAUGAUGAUCCCAUAAUGAAACAUUAUUUCUGCCUCUCAUUGGCAAAAAUAAUAGUAAUAGCAAAUUUAAGUAAUAAGAAAUCUUUGAGUACUUUCUAAACUGUAGGCAGAAC